UACGAAGGGGGCAAGCGUUACUCGGAAUUACUGGGCGUAAAGCGCGCGCAGGCGGUCCUUUAAGUCUGAUGUGAAAGCCCACGGCUCAACCGUGGAGGGUCAUUGGAAACUGGGGGACUUGAGUGCAGGAGAGAAGAGUGGAAUUCCACGUGUAGCGGUGAAAUGCGUAGAGAUGUGGAGGAACACCAGUGGCGAAGGCGGGUCUCUGGGCAACAACUGACGCUGAGGAGCGAAAGCGUGGGGAGCGAACAGG
rnacentral:rRNA from 1 species